UGCCUGCUUUAGAGGACCUAGGUUCUUGGAA
rnacentral:piRNA from 1 species